AGGCGGGGAGGGCGCGCACAGCCGGGAGCCGGGUCCGUCGGCCGGGCCGAGCGUGGCCAGGCAUGCGCACUGCCCGGGUCUGGUGCGCGGGCACCGCUGCACCGAGCCUAGCGCUUAGUGCUGCCCUGAGACUCCGUUCGGCACUGGGGGUAAAAUGAGAACCAGAGAUUGCAUUUCUUAGCAGCGAGAAGAUGGCUGUCACAACACUAGAGAGCAUGGGCAGCUUGGAGGUGUGACGCCAGUUUGCAGCAACAGUCACAAAAGUCCCCGCUAGAGGCCGGUUCGUGGUUGGGCAGAGACGGACACGUGAUGAAACAACUGUAACCAAAUGAUACUGGGACAGCCUUGGUGCUGAAAGAAUGUUUACUGUAAAACUUCUCAACUUUUCUUUAUGUGUGAAAUAUGUCCUAAUAAAAUGUUUGGGAAACAAACAAACAUCCCUGCAUUAAUAACUAAUGUACGUAAUACUCACCUAAAAAAAUAAAAAUUGUUUUUAAACUUGUGA